rnacentral:rRNA from 1 species
GACGAACGCUGGCGGCGUGCUUAACACAUGCAAGUCGAACGCUGAACCCGCUUCGGUGGGGGAUGAGUGGCGAACGGGUGAGUAACACGUGGGCAACCUGCCCCCGGCUCUGGGAUAACUCCAAGAAAUUGGGGCUAAUACCGGAUGUGACCGCUGGCCGCAUGGUCUGGUGGUGGAAAGGGUUUCCGGCUGGGGAUGGGCCCGCGGCCUAUCAGCUUGUUGGUGGGGUAGUGGCCUACCAAGGCGACGACGGGUAGCCGGCCUGAGAGGGUGACCGGCCACACUGGGACUGAGACACGGCCCAGACUCCUACGGGAGGCGGCAGUGGGGAAUAUUGCGCAAUGGGCGGAAGCCUGACGCAGCGACGCCGCGUGGGGGAUGACGGCCUUCGGGUUGUAAACCUCUUUCAGCAGGGACGAAGCGCAAGUGACGGUACCUGCAGAAGAAGCACCGGCCAACUACGUG